rnacentral:rRNA from 1 species
GUCGUAACAAGGUUUCCGUAGGUCGAACCUGCGGAAGGAUCAUUA